rnacentral:rRNA from 1 species
CCUACGGGAGGCAGCAGUAGGGAAUCUUGGACAAUGGGCGAAAGCCUGAUCCAGCCAUGCCGCGUGAGUGAAGAAGGCCCUAGGGUUGUAAAGCUCUUUUAGCGGGGAAGAUAAUGACGGUACCCGCAGAAUAAGCCCCGGCUAACUUCGUGCCAGCAGCCGCGGUAAUACGAAGGGGGCUAGCGUUGUUCGGAAUUACUGGGCGUAAAGCGCACGCAGGCGGAUCGGUAAGUCAGGGGUGAAAUCCCGAGGCUCAACCUCGGAACUGCCUUUGAUACUGCCAAUCUUGAGUCCGGGAGAGGUGAGUGGAAUUCCUAGUGUAGAGGUGAAAUUCGUAGAUAUUAGGAAGAACACCAGUGGCGAAGGCGGCUCACUGGCCCGGAACUGACGCUCAGGUGCGAAAGCGUGGGGAGCAAACAGGAUUAGAUACCCUUGUAGUC